UUGUAAGUCAUAUUCAUAAAUGUUUACAGUCUUUCUUUAAUCUUCACUGCUAAUGCUAGUCAACUAGCUAACAUGAGCUAACCUGACAGAAUUGCAACAAGUGUUUAUGUCAUUAUUCUUCAAUGUCUUCAUAAUCUUCAUUGCUAAGUAACAUAAGAUAACCUGGUAUGAUUUCUAAAUGUCCUCUCCACCGCUAGCCAACUAGCUAACAUGUGCUAACCUGACCGGAGUUCCGAGGGGAUGUUUAUAGGUCAGAUUCAGAAAUGUUUAACCAACUAGCAAAGUCAUAUUCUUAAACGAUUAGAACCUUCACAGAUAAUCUUAGCUAGAUAGCUAACAUAAGCUAAUCUGACAGGAUUUCUGAGAGAUGUUUUAAGUCACAUGCAUGAAUGUUUAUAGUCUAUACUGUCCAUGUUAGCCAACUAGCUAACCUGACACGAUUUCUCAUAUUUUCAUAACCUUCACUGAUAUGCUAACUGGAUAGCUAACUUACGCUAACCUGACAGGAUUUCUGAGAGGAUGUUUACAUUAUAUUCAGGACAAGGAUGGCUGGCUGUUUCGAAUCUUCGUCUGUGAACUUUUUUUUUUGUUUGUUUUGUUUGGAUCAUCAGGAAUGUUUUGGAUCAUCGUUCCGUCAAAAGAUCCAGCAACCGCUGUCAGCUUUACCCUUCCUGAAAACGGCAGCCAGAUUCUGCAUUAAAAUGUGCUGGGCAGAGUCCACUGUGCUAUAAAAGACAUUUGUGAUUGAAGAAGACAGCCUACUUACCAUGUUUGGACACCAAAAGGUUUAGUAUAGUACCUUUUAUUUUCUGGCAAUGAUUUUGUUGAGAUUAUGGUUUGGGGGUUCCAGGUACCAUAAUGCUGUACACUCUCAGAAAGGAUGUGUUAAUGUGUAAGAUACACACUUUUUGCAUUAUUACUAUUUCAACACGUAAAUUAUCCUGUUAAAAAAGGGAAAAAUUGCACACGACUGACCAACACGACACGUGUUAAGUUAUUGUCCAAUCAUGUCGCGGACUGCGUUGCCGACGUCAUCAUUCAAAGCGAAUGUUCGCUGCUUUGAGCUUUUGAUCGGGAAGCCGUCGCAAGGUUGUGAUGGACGUGCAAUUACAGAUGUGAUCACACGAGUUCAUCACGACUGGGUGUUUACAAAGAAAUGGCAAUCACCUACCGUAUGUUUUAUAAAUAAAGUUAGAUUUUAAUUGACUCGA